GCCCUCAAGAGCAAUGGAGAAGUUUAGCAAGAAAGGAGAAAGUUCAUGAGCUGACUUUUGAACAUACCGAGUUGAAGAGUGUGUUCAACACCCAAUUGAAAAGUUCAAUAGGCAGUUAGUCAAACAGAGCUGGGAUUUAAAGGAGAGACCUGAGCUGGAUAGAUAGAACCGGGAGUAAUCUUUUUAGAGAUGAGAUCUGAACCUCUGGGAGCAGAUGAAGGCAACAAAAGGGGAUAGAGAGACCGAGGGCCCAAGAGAGAACUCUGCAGUAAAUCCACAUACAGGAGCCAAGGUGCACCUUGAAGAGAUUCAGUGGUGGUUUAGGGGGCUGCCCUGAUGAAGGCUUCCCUAGAAGAUGUCCUUAGUCCAAACUGCAUUGGGGAACACCACUUUAACCAUGACACGAAGAGCCCCUCGUCUGAAGUUGAGGUUUGAAGAAUAAGUUUUCCUUGUAAAUAACAAGGUUUAUUUGAUUUUGCUUUUGAAGUGCCCAUGCAAUAUUAAAUGUAAAUCCUGGAAUGGCUUAUUCAAAUAAUUAAAAUGAUACAAUACUAAGAAGAGGAAAGCUUUCAUCAAAGGUAGCUUGUUCUUUCUCAAGAUUUCAUAUGACUUGGGAUUUGAUUUUCUCAGCACACCUUUGCACUGACUUGGUGGUCUUCCAAGUAAGCACAAGUUAAUUAAAUUAAAUAGGAUUUUGACCCUGUUACCUUCCUUAUAUAUCACAUCCCAAGUACUGCCUAUUUAAAUAAACCACAGGAAAAAGUCCUAAGGUUACACUGCCUGCAUUACAUUUUCUGAUUAUGGUAAAGAAACAAAAUAAAUAUCCUAUAAACCAGUUCCUAAGCACUCCAUAAUCAGAGCAACCACUACCAGCUCAUGCUGACUUUAAUGAAGAGAUCUGAGGGGAAUGUGAAUCCAUUCAGGAUGGAUUUCCUC